rnacentral:rRNA from 1 species
UACGUAGGAUGCAAGCGUUGUCCGGAAUUAUUGGGCGUAAAGAGCGCGCAGGCGGUAUGACAAGUCAGAUGUGAAAGAGGCCGGCUUAACCGGCAAGGGUCAUUUGAAACUGUCAGACUAGAGUGCAGCAGAGGAUAGUGGAAUUCCCGGUGUAGUGGUGAAAUGCGUAGAUAUCGGGAGGAACACCAGUGGCGAAGGCGACUAUCUGGGCUGCAACUGACGCUGAGGCACGAAGGUCAGGGGAGCAAACGGG